UACGUAGGGGGCGAGCGUUGUCCGGAUUUAUUGGGCGUAAAACGCUUGUAGGUGGCUACGUCAAGUCGGACGUGAAAUCUCCCGGCUUAGCUGGGAGGGGUCGCUCGAUACUGGCGAGCUCGAGGCAGGUAGGGGGAAGCGGAAUUCCCGGUGUAGUGGUGGAAUGCGUAGAUAUCGGGAGGAACACCAGUGGCGAAGGCGGCUUCCUGGACCUGUUCUGACACUGAGGAGCGAAAGCGUGGGGAGCGAUCCGG
rnacentral:rRNA from 1 species